UACGUAGGGUGCAAGCGUUGUCCGGAAUUAUUGGGCGUAAAGAGCUCGUAGGCGGUUUGUCGCGUCUGCUGUGAAAACUCGGGGCUCAACCCCGAGCUUGCAGUGGGUACGGGCAGACUAGAGUGCGGUAGGGGAGACUGGAAUUCCUGGUGUAGCGGUGGAAUGCGCAGAUAUCAGGAGGAACACCGGUGGCGAAGGCGGGAUCUCUGGGCCGUAACUGACGCUGAGGAGCGAAAGUGUGGGGAGCGAACAGG
rnacentral:rRNA from 1 species